rnacentral:rRNA from 1 species
GGGAACUAGGUGGCGGCAGCGGGGGGAAGGGGGGGGGGGGAAGGGUUGGCCGGAUGUGAUGGGCGGAAAGGGCGGGUGGGGGGCCGGGAAGGGCAGCUGUGAAAACUCGAGGCGCAACCUCGAGACGUCGGUUGAAACCACCUGGCUAGAGUCCGGAAGAGGAGUGUGGAAUUCCCGGUGUAGCGGUGAAAUGCGCAGAUAUCGGGAAGAACACCCGUGGCGAAGGCGGCACUCUGGGACGGUACUGACGCUGAGACGCGAAAGCGUGGGGAGCGAACAGGAUUAGAUACCCUAUUAGUC